GAUGAACGCUGGCGGCGUGCCUAAUACAUGCAAGUCGAGCGAACAGACGAGGAGCUUGCUCCUCUGACGUUAGCGGCGGACGGGUGAGUAACACGUGGAUAACCUACCUAUAUGACUGGGAUAACUUCGGGAAACCGGAGCUAAUACCGGAUAAUAUAUUGAACCGCAUGGUUGAAUAGUGAAAGACGGUUUUGCUGUAACUUAUAGAUGGAUCUGCGCCGCAUUAGCUAGUUGGUAAGGUAACGGCCUACCAAGGCAACGAGGCGUAUCCGACGUGUUAGGGUGUUCGCCCGCCCGGGAAGUGGGCCGCGGUCCAUACUCCUGCGGGACGCAGCAGUAGGGUACCGUCCGCAGUGGGCGAAAGCCUUACGGAGCGGGGCCACGUGAGUUGUGAAGGUCUUCGGAUCGUAAAACUCUGUUUCGAGGUAUGAACAAAUGUGUAAUUAACUAUGCACGUCUUGACGGUACCUAGUCAGAAAGCCCCGGCUAACUACGUG
rnacentral:rRNA from 1 species